rnacentral:snRNA from 1 species
GUGCUCGCUUUGGCAGCACAUAUACUAAACUUGGAACGAUACAGAGAUUAGCAUGGGCCCUGUGCAAGGACGACACGCAAAUCUGUGAAGUGUUCCAUAUUCUU